rnacentral:rRNA from 1 species
GGCUCAGAACGAACGCUGGCGGCAGGCUUAACACAUGCAAGUCGAGCGCCCCGCAAGGGGAGCGGCAGACGGGUGAGUAACGCGUGGGAAUCUACCCUUUUCUACGGAAUAACGCAGGGAAACUUGUGCUAAUACCGUAUACGCCCUUCGGGGGAAAGAUUUAUCGGGAAAGGAUGAGCCCGCGUUGGAUUAGCUAGUUGGUGGGGUAAAGGCCUACCAAGGCGACGAUCCAUAGCUGGUCUGAGAGGAUGAUCAGCCACAUUGGGACUGAGACACGGCCCAAACUCCUACGGGAGGCAGCAGUGGGGAAUAUUGGACAAUGGGCGCAAGCCUGAUCCAGCCAUGCCGCGUGAGUGAUGAAGGCCCUAGGGUUGUAAAGCUCUUUCACCGGUGAAGAUAAUGACGGUAACCGGAGAAGAAGCCCCCGGCUAACUUC